rnacentral:ncRNA from 1 species
UCAGAGAUAAAAACGCAACGUGCAUCCGCAAGGAUGUGCCAGAGCCGGUAGGUAGCCCGGCCGUCCUGUCAGUAACAGGGUAAGUAACCUGCCCCUCCGGGUUGUCCGUUCUCUGUCCAUA